rnacentral:rRNA from 1 species
GAUGAACGCUGGCGGUCUGCUUAACACAUGCAAGUCGAACGGAGUAGAAAUACUUAGUGGCGGACGGGUGAGUAACGCGUGAGAAUCUGCCUUCAGGACGGAGACAACAGUUGGAAACGACUGCUAAGCCCCGAUGAACCGAAAGGGAAAAUAUUUAUAGCCUGAAGAUGAGCUCGCGUCCGAUUAGCUAGUUGGCGGAGUAAAAGCCCACCAAGGCGACGAUCGGUAGCUGGUCUGAGAGGACGAUCAGCCACACUGGGACUGAGACACGGCCCAGACUCCUACGGGAGGCAGCAGUGGGGAAUUUUCCGCAAUGGGCGAAAGCCUGACGGAGCAAGACCGCGUGGGGGGAAGAAGGCUCUUGGGUUGUAAACCCCUUUUCUCUGGGAAGAAAGUUGUGAAAGCAACCUGACGGUACCAGAGGAAUCAGCAUCGGCUAACUCCGUGCCAGCAGCCGCGGUAUGUGUCUACU